rnacentral:lncRNA from 1 species
GCAUAAGUUUUUCAUUUGAUUCAACAUGCGAUCCCAGUCUGUCAUUGGAUUUACAUUGGAGUCCCCAUCAAUUGGUAUCAGAGGCGACAUGUUUAAUCAUUGUGAAAUUGCCACAUUUGAAUUCUUAAUGCAUAUUUCUUUGUAAAAUACGUUGCAACCCAUUCCCUCAAAGCCCUUGAUAGGCAUGCAACUUCGUUCCUGUCAUGGUGACCCUUCCUGCAACGGCAUUUUGGCGGAUGAUUGUAGAUCGGAGAAGAUGACUCUGAUCCUUGGUGUCAUUGUUGGCGUCUCCAAAUGUAGGAUCCCUAUGACACUACCUAGAGGAGGGCUGGGAGCACCACUG